rnacentral:rRNA from 1 species
GAUGAACGCUGGCGGCGUGCCUAAUACAUGCAAGUCGAGCGAACAGACGAGGAGCUUGCUCCUCUGACGUUAGCGGCGCACGGGUGAGUAACACGUGGAUAACCUACCUAUAAGACUGGGAUAACUUCGGGAAACCGGCGCUAAUACCAGAUAAUCUAUUGAACCGCAUGGUUCAAUAGUGAAAGACGGUUUUGCUGUCUCUUAUAGAUGGAUCCGCGCCGCAUUAGCUAGUUGGGAAGGUAACGGCUUACCAAGGCAACGAUGCGUAGCCGACCUGAGAGGGUGAUCGGCCACACUGGAACUGAGACACGGUCCAUACUCCUACGGGAGGCAGCAGUAGGGAAUCUUCCGCAAUGGGCGAAAGCCUGACGGAGCAACGCCGCGUGAGUGAUGAAGGUCUUCGGAUCGUAAAACUCUGUUAUUAGGGAAGAACAAAUGUGUAAGUAACUAUGCACGUCUUGACGGUACCUAAUAAGAAAGCCACGGCUAACUACGUG